AGUGAACGCUGGCGGUAGGCCUAACACAUGCAAGUCGAACGGCAGCACAGGAGAGCUUGCUCUCUGGGUGGCGAGUGGCGGACGGGUGAGGAAUACAUCGGAAUCUACUUUUUCGUGGGGGAUAACGUAGGGAAACUUACGCUAAUACCGCAUACGACCUACGGGUGAAAGCAGGGGAUCUUCGGACCUUUCGCGAUUGAAUGAGCCGAUGUCGGAUUAGCUAGUUGGCAGGGUAAAGGCCCACCAAGGCGACGAUCCGUAGCUGGUCUGGGAGGAUGAUCAGCCACACUGGAACUGAGACACGGUCCAGACUCCUACGGGAGGCAGCAGUGGGGAAUAUUGGACAAUGGGCGCAAGCCUGAUCCAGCCAUACCGCGUGGGUGAAGAAGGCCUUCGGGUUGUAAAGCCCUUUUGUUGGGAAAGAAAUCCAGCUGGUUAAUACCCGGUUGGGAUGACGGUACCCAAAGAAUAAGCACCGGCUAACUUCGUGCCAGCCGCCGCGGUAA
rnacentral:rRNA from 1 species